GGCCGCGCUUCGACACCUCGGGGCGCGGACUGGGGACCCCGGCCCGGGCGGGACCGCUCUCGGAGCGAUGCAACAGGUGCGGCAGGCGGCACCCGUCAGGCAGAGGCGACCGCGCGGGCAUUCCUGCCAGCGCCGCCCCCGUGCCCGCGGGCGCGGCCUCUCUUCAGCCCUCAGCGGGAGACCCUCAGCGCAAUAUGGCGGCGGGCAGCGCUCCACCUGCUUCUGCCCCGAACCCUGACCCUGCGGCGGGGUUGGCGAUUGUCAAGUUGGAGAGCGGGAGAGGGAAGAAAGGCCCUUCGGAGUUAGUGUGUGGGCGACUCGUGUGCUCGAUCGCCAGUCUCUAAAAGGUGCUAUUUUUUUUGUUGUUGUUUAUUUUUUUUUUCUGAAGCCCAAAAUGAAUUACUUCAAACAAAAGGCAGGAUGGAUUUUUGUUAUUAAAGCACAUUUUCAGCAUGAAAUAAAAGUUUGAGAAUUCACCGAAGCUUGGAAACGACAAAGUGAGACGGCUGCUUCAGCCAGCUGUGCUCUUGCAUCAAGAUUGUGCAACCAACCAGCCGAUUCGUAGGCAUGCAGACACAACGCACUGUGCCUGUGCCCCCUGUUCCUCACCCUUCAUCCACCGCCAUGCUCCUGCAGAGCUCCCAGCUGCUUUACCUGCAGGAGCUGUGGCCUCCCGCCUGCUGGGGUGUGAGAACAGAUCUAUUUACGUUGUCACGGGCAACGGACUAUAGGACACAGGUCUUCCGGUGUGCCGGCAAUGGCAUGCAGGUGAGCUCUGAGAUUAGGGAAACGUGCAGAUCCAAGCUGCUGUCUUCAAUGUCCUCAUUUCAAGAAAAGGAACUGGAAGCUUCAAAACAAGGCUGUACCCACAAUUGUUCCUUGAGAUUACAUGACGCUCUCCUUGACCAUGAUGGAGCUGUACAGGGACAUACUAGAUGAACACAGUUUAAACAUGCAUGUGAUCAAGCAAGGAAAAUCUAUAAUAAUCGUCUCUGUAACUGAAAUCCACCGUAAAUUAUUGAUUUUAUUAGUGAAAAUAAAUAGUAAAAAAAGCAAUAAGAAUUUGCUCAAACUGUUGAAUGAGAAAAAUCACAUCACAGAGCAUUGUUUAAAAAUGUAUUAAGUGACAAUAGAUGUUCACAAUGUGC